rnacentral:lncRNA from 1 species
GGAUAAAUAAUGCUCUAUUGGAUAAAUACGUAAGAAAAUAACAUUUCAAUAUUUAAGGCAAAUGAUUUAUACAUUUGAAAGGAUAUGUAAAUUCAAACUAUUUUAGAGAAUUUAUAAAUGACUGCCUCCUUUGUAAAACAAGAUUUUAUUUUUAUUUUUAAACUGAUUGUUACUGUUAUACUCAACAGUUAACAUAAGAGAAUAAAAAAUACAUGUGAUAUCAAUGUCUAUUUGCGUUUGACCUCCUUUUAAACUGCCAUUUUACUAACUUAAAUAUGGACGUUAAAAAAAUAAAACGGUGGAUAGGUAGUUUUAGGUAAUAAGGGUCUUAAGUUUUUGAUAUGAAGAUAAAACUAUAUUUCAGGUAAAGUACAUUGGACAGCUGAGAUUGUGGUGUAGACAGCUGAGAUUGUGUUUUGGACAGCUGAGAUUGUGACUUGGACAGCUGAGAUUGUGGUGUGGACAGCUGAGAUUGGUGUGGACAGCUGAGAUUGUGGUGUUGACAUCUGAAAUUGUGAUUUGGACAGCUGAGAUUGUGACUUGGACAGCUGAGAUUGUGCUGUGGACAGCUAAAAUUGUGGUGUGGAAUAAUGAUAUUGUGGUGUUGACAACAUAUUGUGGUGUGCACAUGUGAUAUUGUGGUGUGAUGGUUUAAAGUAGCAAAGGUAAAGAACGUUUGACAGCUUAGAUUGUGGUGUGGACAGCUGAUAUUGUGGUGUGGACAGCUGAGAUUGUCAUGUGGACUACUUAUAUUGUGGCUUGCAGAGCUGAUAUUGUGGUGUGAUGGUUUAAAGUACUAAAGAUUUAUUCCUUACUACUUCCAGUCAACUAUAUCUUCCACAGCAUGAUUUAAUCUAGUCCCAAUCAUUGACUCUGGUUACCUCACCAGACGGUCCGUCCACAGAGUCACAAGCAACAGAUACUAAAACUCGGCAAAGUACAUG